AAGUCGUAACAAGGUUUCCGUAGGUGAACCUGCGGAAGGAUCAUUACUGUUGGGGCUUCGGCCCCAAUCAAGAUACCACCCUUGCAUUUUGAGUACCUUCUGUUUCCUCGGCGGGUCCGCCCGCCAGAGGACCACACCAAAACCCUUUUGUAGUUGCAGUAAACGUCUUAAAAAACAAUAAUCAAAACUUUCAACAACGGAUCUCUUGGUUCUG
rnacentral:misc_RNA from 1 species